AUUGAACGCUGGCGGCAUGCCUUACACAUGCAAGUCGAACGGCAGCGGACCUUCGGGUGCCGGCGAGUGGCGAACGGGUGAGUAAUGCAUCGGAACGUACCUUUCAGUGGGGGAUAACUUAGCGAAGGUUACGCUAAUACCGCAUAUUCUGUGAGCAGGAAAGCAGGGGAUCGCAAGACCUUGCGCUGAUUGAGCGGCCGAUAUCAGAUUAGCUAGUUGGUGAGGUAAAGGCUCACCAAGGCGACGAUCUGUAGCGGGUCUGAGAGGAUGAUCCGCCACACUGGAACUGAGACACGGUCCAGACUCCUACGGGAGGCAGCAGUGGGGAAUUUUGGACAAUGGGGGCAACCCUGAUCCAGCCAUGCCGCGUGAGUGAAGAAGGCCUUCGGGUUGUAAACUGCUUUUGUACGGAACGAAACGGUCCUGGUUAAUACCUGGGGCUAAUGACGGUACCGUAAGAAUAAGCACCGGCUAACUACGUGCCAGCCGCCGCAGUAAAAC
rnacentral:rRNA from 1 species